rnacentral:rRNA from 1 species
UACAGAGGGUGCGAGCGUUAAUCGGAAUUACUGGGCGUAAAGCGUGCGUAGACGGUUACGUAAGUCGGGUGUGAAAGCCCCGGGCUCAACCUGGGAAUUGCAUUCGAGACUGCAUAGCUAGGGUGCGGAAGAGGGAAGCGGAAUUUCCGGUGUAGCGGUGAAAUGCGUAGAUAUCGGAAGGAACACCAGUGGCGAAAGCGGCUUCCUGGUCCAGCACCGACGUUCAGGCACGAAAGCGUGGGGAGCAAACAGG